rnacentral:rRNA from 1 species
UGCUGCAUGAAAGGUGGCAUUUAGCUGCCGUUUGAGGAUGAGCCUGCGCUCUAUUAGUUUGUUGGUGAGGUAAUGGCUCACCAAGGCGAUGAUAGAUAGGCGGCCUUAACGGGUGGUCGCCCACACUGGGAUUGAGAUACGGCCCAGACUCCUACGGGAGGCAGCAGUCGAGAAUAGUCUACAAUGGACGAAAGUCUGAUAGUGCGACGCCGCGUGAACGAAGAAUCCCCUAUGGGGUGUAAAGUUCUUUUAUAUGUGAGCAAUACUUUUUAUGUAAAUAGCAUGAGAAGAGAGAUAUUAGCAUAUGAAUAAGCAACGGCUAACUCCGUGCCAGCAGCCGCGGUAACACGGGGGUUGCAAGCGUUGUCCGGAAUUACUAGGCGUAAAGGGCAGGUAGGCGGAUAGAUAAGUUUGAGGUUAAAGGCAACGGCUCACCCGUUGUGCGGCUUCAGAUACUGUUUAUCUGGAAUGCGGUUGAGGAAGACAGAAUUCCUGGUGUAGCGGUGGAAUGCGCAGAGAUCAGGAGGAAUACCGAAUGCGAAGGCAGUCUUCUAAGCCGUAAUUGACGCUAAACUGCGAAGGUGUGGGUAUCAAACAGGAUUAGAUACCCUGGUAGUCCACACAGUAAACGAUAAUCACUAGGUGUCGGUUUCGAAGCGGAAUCGGUGCCGUAGCUAACGCGUUAAGUGAUUCGCCUGGGGAGUACGAUCGCAAGGUUGAAACUCAAAGGAAUUGACGGGGGCCCGCACAAGCGGUGGAGCAUGUGGUUUAAUUCGAUGCAACGCGAAGAACCUUACCCGGUCUUGACAUCUGAGGAAUCCUUCAGAGAUGAGGGAGUGCUGGUUUUACCGGAACCUCAAGACAGGUGCUGCAUGGCUGUCGUCAGCUCGUGUCGUGAGAUGUUGGGUUAAGUCCCGCAACGAGCGCAACCCCUGCUUUCAGUUACCAUCAUUAAGUUGGGGACUCUGGAAGGACCGCUGCGGUAACAACGCAGAGGAAGAUGGGGACGACGUCAGGUCAUCAUGGUCCUUACGACCGGGGCUACACACGUGCUACAAUGGUAGUUACAACGGGUUGCCAAGCCGCAAGGUGGAGCGAAUCCCCCAAAAGCUACCCAAGUUCGGAUUGAGGUCUGCAACUCGACCUCAUGAAGCUGGAAUCGCUAGUAAUCGCGCAACAUCAUGGCGCGGUGAAUACGUUCCCGGGCCUUGCACACACCGCCCGUCAAG